AUUGAACGCUGGCGGCAGGCCUAACACGCAAGUCGAGCGGAUGAAGGGAGCUUGCUCCUGGAUUCAGCGGCGGACGGGUGAGUAAUGCCUAGGAAUCUGCCUGGUAGUGGGGGAUAACGUCCGGAAACGGGCGCUAAUACCGCAUACGUCCUGAGGGAGAAAGUGGGGGAUCUUCGGACCUCACGCUAUCAGAUGAGCCUAGGUCGGAUUAGCUAGUUGGUGGGGUAAAGGCCUACCAAGGCGACGAUCCGUAACUGGUCUGAGAGGAUGAUCAGUCACACUGGAACUGAGACACGGUCCAGACUCCUACGGGAGGCAGCAGUGGGGAAUAUUGGACAAUGGGCGAAAGCCUGAUCCAGCCAUGCCGCGUGUGUGAAGAAGGUCUUCGGAUUGUAAAGCACUUUAAGUUGGGAGGAAGGGCAGUAAGUUAAUACCUUGCUGUUUUGACGUUACCAACAGAAUAAGCACCGGCUAACUUCGUG
rnacentral:rRNA from 1 species